AUUGAACGCUGGCGGCAGGCUUAACACAUGCAAGUCGAGCGGAGAUGAGGUGCUUGCACCUUAUCUUAGCGGCGGACGGGUGAGUAAUGCUUAGGAAUCUGCCUAUUAGUGGGGGACAACAUUCCGAAAGGAAUGCUAAUACCGCAUACGUCCUACGGGAGAAAGCAGGGGAUCUUCGGACCUUGCGCUAAUAGAUGAGCCUAAGUCGGAUUAGCUAGUUGGUGGGGUAAAGGCCUACCAAGGCGACGAUCUGUAGCGGGUCUGAGAGGAUGAUCCGCCACACUGGGACUGAGAAACGGCCCAGACUCCUGCGGGAGGCAGCAGUGGGGAAUAUUGGACAAUGGGGGGACCCCUGAUCCAGCCAUGCCGCGUGUGUGAAGAAGGCCUUAUGGUUGUAAAGCACUUUAAGCGAGGAGGAGGCUACUGAGACUAAUACUCUUGGAUAGUGGACGUUACUCGCAGAAUAAGCACCGGCUAGCUCUGUGCCAGCAGCCGCCGUAAUAC
rnacentral:rRNA from 1 species